AAUGAACGCUGGCGGCAUGCCUAACACAUGCAAGUCGAACGAGACCUUCGGGUCUAGUGGCGCACGGGUGCGUAACGCGUGGGAAUCUGCCCUUGGGUUCGGAAUAACUCGCCGAAAGGCGUGCUAAUACCGGAUGAUGACGUAAGCCCAAAGAUUUAUCGCCCAAGGAUGAGCCCGCGUAGGAUUAGCUAGUUGGUGGGGUAAAGGCCCACCAAGGCGACGAUCCUUAGCUGGUCUGAGAGGAUGAUCAGCCACACUGGGACUGAGACACGGCCCAGACUCCUACGGGAGGCAGCAGUGGGGAAUAUUGGACAAUGGGCGAAAGCCUGAUCCAGCAAUGCCGCGUGAGUGAUGAAGGCCUUAGGGUUGUAAAGCUCUUUUACCCGGGAUGAUAAUGACAGUACCGGGAGAAUAAGCCCCGGCUAACUCCGUGCCAGCCGCCGCUGUAA
rnacentral:rRNA from 1 species